rnacentral:tRNA from 1 species
AUAAUAAUAGGGAGUUAGCUUUUAAUUGAAUUUCAACCAAAACAGUAUUUAAUUAAUAAUGUAUAAGGU